AGAUAUUUAUUGAUGUUUAUUAGGGACCUUAAUGGAUCCACUUUAUUUACUUGCAGGAUAAUUGGAGUAUAGCAGUGUAAGUAGAAGUUUCAGUAGAAGGAAGCAGCCUAUUGUUAAAGACCAGUUGUUCACUUUGCUGAUGAUUAAACACUGCUCUAAUAUAAAGGCAAAAAAUAUUUGCUGUGUUUUCCUUUUUUCUGUUUAGGCUUAAAGGAAACAUAAGUAGCUGUAGUAUUGUGACAGAGUAGACACCUAAAGUCAUCAGUUUUAGGUAAAAGGCUAGUGAGGCCACUCCUGAAAUUUUGCGUUGGAGGGGCUACAAAUUACUAUUAUCCUUCUGAUUCCAGUUGGGUGUGUUACAAGUUUAUUUUCUGCAACUUUGAGGACUUGAAAUUUUCCUUAAUGCAUUUGUUCAACUUCUUUCCAAGAAAAUUAUGCUAUUAAUUUAAUUACUAAGAUUUUAUUUGUAUUUAACUUAUUAAAUAUAUGUGUUAGGAAUUGCUUAGUAGAGUAUUAUUUAUGGUUACAUAAGAAAAACACUGCUAAUAAAUAUAACUAGGAAAGAGAGAAGGCUGCUGGGAUUCAUCAUAUACAGCAU
rnacentral:lncRNA from 1 species